GGGCAACUGAGCACCUUGGCCCAGGUGUGUCACGUUUUAAUCAGAGAGUUUUGUAAGAAAUAUGAAUAAUUUUGGAAGAAAUAUGAAUCUAAACGUGGAUAUUUUUCUCCGCUGCUGUUUUUUGUAGAGCUAAACUCGGUCACCUGCCGCAGGUGCGUCCUCCACUCCGGGUGAAGCAUAAACACAAGCAAGAUUCAUCACUGUAAGAAGAGGCUGCACGUCCACUUCCACCAGAUGUCCAACCUGCCUGUCACUGUGAAUGUCCCUGAGGUCCCACCGCUCCGAUGCUGUCUCGGUAAGGGGGAGAAGAACCAGGCCUCAGUCACGUCGGCUCUGUGACAUCGAAGCGACCGUGACACCGCGGCAAACCGGUGGUGACGGAUGCCUUUUUGUCUUGUGCAGUCAGGGCGGAUCGUCUGGCCGGUGGACGACCGUAAUUGCGCCGACAGGUGACACAUCUGUGGAAACCAGAAGAUGAUGGGGGAGACUGUUUAGAUCAUGUGACCUGCGCCUCGCCUUGCCUCUGCCAAGUACGGCUCUUACUAGAUGACACCUGAGCAGGACAAAUGACAACCAUGUGACCGUGAUGCCAGUGGAGGAACAUCAGGUGGAACAUCACCUUCAGGAGUGGCAAUGGAAGAAGUGGAAAGACAUUUUGCAAGAGUGAUGCAGGUUUGGAGGGCAGGUAAGUUUCAACUUUGACCUCUACAAUGUGUGUGUCCUGCUUUCAAGUAGACGUGCAUCAUAACGCAGUGUAACGUGGUAGGAGAUAGAAUUCAAUCACUGGGUCACCAGGAUGUCCUAAAAAACGUGGUUGUCCUAAAAAAGCCAUUGUUGGUCUUUUCAAGUCGUGCCUGGUCUUUUUUAAAGACAAGUGGCCAGAAAGUUUCCCGUCGUCU